ACAUACCUUUAAAUUUCCAAACCCUUGGUUACUGUUCAUUCUCCCUCAACCUUGAAUUUUCUCUUUGAUUUCCCUUCUUUUCUUCAAAUUCUUCUUUGAAAAGGUGUUGGGAGAAAAUAGGUAGUUGAUUGGAGAUGGAAUUUUGAAGAAAUUUUGGUGU